AACAAGAGUAGCCCCUUCGCAGGACCCGCCUGCCUGCAUCCAGACAGCGGCUGGGAAACGGCGAGGGGACGAGUGCUUUCCCCCAACACGCCCGGUGUCUCCUCUCCCUCCGGCCUCGGCUGGACAUCCAGAGCCCAGCCAGCAGGGAGGACGCCAGCAGCACCGCUGCUCUUGCUGCCCCCCAGGCACGGAGGACGGAUGGAGGACAUCAACCCUGGAAGGAAGAGGAGGACUGAGCCUCACACUUCUCCAGAGAGCCUUCACUGACCCAGCGGCCAGGUGACACCCCCUGCCCUGACACGUCACAUCACCCAGCACUGCAGAGAUUCUCACUCACCAGGGGCUUCUGAGAACAAGGAGGGUAAGAACCACUGCCUGCAACAGGCCGUGCUCAUGGGUAGACGGGGACACCCCCCACCCCGACCCAGCCCAUAGCGCCUCUGCCCUCCUGGGGCUCAUCAGGGCCCCAAGCCCGUAGGAAAGCAGCCCCUCCCAGGUGGCGGUUCCGAGGCACCACAGGCUGCAGGAGGCUGGGGCCGGCCAGGCAGGCAGGUGCAGCCGUGCUCUCAUCUGCAUGCCCAUCAGCACCCUGGCCGGCUCCUCAGAGUCGAGGCCCGAUGGCAGGACACAGGUCAAACGAGCUCCAUCUAUGAAAGGCCAUGGGGCCCUGGGAAGGUUACUGCGUGCACCUCAUGGCACCUCGGUUUCCUCAACUGUAAAAUGGAGGUACUCAGACUUAACUCUUGGGGUGGAUGGGAGGACUAAGGAGAUAAUACAUAUUUCCACAAGGGCCAGCUCUUUAUUAUCACUAUUACUAUUCCUUCAGUGACAAUCUGGGCCCCCGACGCAGAUGGAAGAAAACCAAGGGAUAGCGUGGCAGGCAGCAGUGACAGCAGCUUCCCCAGGCCGGCCACCAAGGCAGUGAGAAAAGCCCAACCCCGGCUCUCCACCCUCAGACACCCGCUGACGUCCCCCAGGAGCUUCAUCUGCCUGCAGCUCUGCCUUCCUGAGGACACAGCGCCCUGCCCUGGGGAGCCUGAACAAUCAAGCCAUCCAGGCCCUGCCCCCCGCUGCCCCCUAGAGCACCAGGUCAUCACCUGUGUCCACCUGGUGGACACCCACCUGAGCGGGUGCAGGAGAGCAUGCCGGGAACCGGUGAGGACAGAUGAUUGUCCCCCGCCAGCAAAGGACAUGCGAGCAGUGGACUGUGUUUCCAGACCCUCCCUUGCUGAAGACAGUUGAACAUGCCAAGAAAUGCCUACAGCCGUGGCCCCAGCACAAGCCCCCACUACUCCCCGGGACCCUCCGCCUUCUCUGGGACCCAGACAAGGGGGUGUCACCCGAGAGAACCAGUCCGGAGCUCAGAGCUCGGUCGAGGAGGGCACCGGUGUGCUGGGCUUCCCACCUCCUCCUCCAUCAGUCAUCACGUCCACGCGCCACAACUUGGGUCUAUGCCAGCACAGCGCGGGUGCUUCACACCCACGACCUUACUGAUCUUUGCCACACCUGGUACAAGACAGGAGGGUCACCACGUCACCAGCGAGGACGUAAGGCUGAGUGGAGUGAACCGCUGCAAGUCACAGCCCAGGCCUGAGCCCAGGGCCAGGGCACAAAAAAGAUCCUGAGUAGAAAAAGGAUGGGCCUGCAAAAGGAUUUUUUUGAACAAGAUAGAUGAAGACCGACCACAGAGACUUCUAACCUACGCCCCCUCCUCCUCCUUCCCUGUCUGGCAAUCAGAAUGAGGACUGUUCUGACGUUAGGCAGAGGCCAGGGUGUUCUGGCGCCAGGGGAAGGGAUGUUAAAACCAAAACACCCGGCAGCA